rnacentral:rRNA from 1 species
CCUACGGGAGGCAGCAGUGGGGGAUAUUGCACAAUGGGGGAAACCCUGAUGCAGCGACGCCGCGUGAGUGAAGAAGUAUUUCGGUAUGUAAAGCUCUAUCAGCAGGGAAGAAAAUGACAGUACCUGACCAAGAAGCCCCGGCUAACUACGUGCCAGCAGCCGCGGUAAUACGUAGGGGGCAAGCGUUAUCCGGAUUUACUGGGUGUAAAGGGAGCGUAGACGGUUAUGUAAGUAUGGAGUGAAAUGCCGGGGCUUAACCCCGGAACUGCUUUGGAAACUGUGCAGCGAGAGUGCAGGAGAGGUAAGUGGAAUUCCUAGUGUAGCGGUGAAAUGCGUAGAUAUUAGGAGGAACACCAGUGGCGAAGGCGGCUUACUGGACUGUAACUGACGUUGAGGCUCGAAAGCGUGGGGAGCAAACAGGAUUAGAUACCCCAGUAGUC